AUUGAACGCUGGCGGCAUGCCUUACACAUGCAAGUCGAACGGUAACAGGUCUUCGGAUGCUGACGAGUGGCGAACGGGUGAGUAAUACAUCGGAACGUGCCCGAGAGUGGGGGAUAACGAGGCGAAAGCUUUGCUAAUACCGCAUACGAUCUCAGGAUGAAAGCAGGGGACCGCAAGGCCUUGCGCUCACGGAGCGGCCGAUGGCAGAUUAGGUAGUUGGUGGGAUAAAAGCUUACCAAGCCGACGAUCUGUAGCUGGUCUGAGAGGACGACCAGCCACACGGGGACUGAGACACGGUCCAGACUCCUACGGGAGGCAGCGGUGGGGAAUUUUGGACAAUGGGCGCAAGCCUGAUCAAGCAAUGCCGCGUGCAGGAUGAAGGCCUUCGGGUUGUAAACUGCUUUUGUACGGAACGAAACGGCCCUUUCUAAUACAGGGGGCUAAUGACGGUACCGUAAGAAUAAGCACCGGCUAACUACGUGCCAGCCGCCGCGGUAACAC
rnacentral:rRNA from 1 species